CUAUCUCUAUAUGUAACUUGUACUAGACAAUGAAAGGUCAGAUCUUGAUUGACUAAAUUCAGAAUACACAAACUCGUGGAGUUUUGUUUAUGCGUGAGUCUUGAGAGGCUUGCAACACUUGUUCUUUCGAUUCCUGAGGGAGUUGUAGAACGCCGAACUGCGGUUCAUCCAGUUCGUGCCUUCACGUCUAUAGGGCAUGAUUGCGUGGGCUGUUUUGUCGGUACGUGGAAGGGUGAUUGUCUCGGUAGUUCGUCGCGUGGACAGCCUCGUGGUGCACUGCCUCUUCACCAGGUCACGCAACGACAAGUUAUCAAGUUCACGGAUCCUACGAGAAGAUCGGGCCACACAACUUGCUACACGCGUUGCAUAGGCGUGUGCAUAUCAUCUAGUAACAGAGCCUCCGUUUCCUCAGUAGGAUUGUUCUUGUUUUUGGUAGGAUAGAGUUCAUAUACCUACUGUCCACUAAUAGCCAAAAAGAAAACCUACAGCCCAAAUUCAUACGUGCUACUGAUUUUGUAGUUUGCUUUAUCGAGUUUUAAUCCUUUAAGACUUGUCUAGUUGCUGAAUUUUUUUUUCCCACAUCGUUCUAGUUGUUAUCAUUGUUCUAAUCAUCAAAUCGCUUGCUGCAUGUACCCACCCAUCCCACCCUUGUUCUGAUCGUCAUUGCUUGCUGCAUAUAAAAAAAAAAC
rnacentral:lncRNA from 1 species